rnacentral:rRNA from 1 species
UGGGGAAUCAUGGUCAAUGGGCGAAAGCCUGACCCUGCGACGCCGCGUGAGUGAUGAAGGUCGUAAGAUCGUAAAACUCUUUUCAGGGAGCUUAAAGCACAACCGUCAACAACGGCUGUGUGUGACUCUCCCUGGAAGCAGCCCCAGCCAACUACGUGCCAGCAGCUGCGGUAAUACGUAGGGGGCGAGCGUUAUUCGGACUUACGGGGUGUAAAGGGUAUGUAGGCGGCCCUUCAAGUCGCGUGUCAAAGUCCAGUGCUCAACGCUGGGUGUG